AUGCGGCGGCCGAUGAAUAGAGAACAAUCAUUCAAUUGAAGAGGUUGUGGGAUAAAGUUAAGAGGAAAAAAAAGAGUGAAUUGGCGGAGGAAAGGAGGGAAUUAAUGGCUACAGGCGGUGGAGGAGCCUCAUUGUCUCCGAAACCUCAGCCAGAAAUUGACAAUCUCCUCUCUCAUAUGGAUUUCGAAAUUUCAAAUCCAUAUGAUUCCGAUGGCUUAGUUUUAAGUCAAAUUUCGUAUGAAGAUGGGACAACUUGUAGUACCAGCAGAGAAGUUUCCAAGGACUGUGAAACAUCAACGGGCAGUGGUGUUGGAUCAUCCAGUAGGAAACAUAGAGGUAAUU